rfam:Sorghum bicolor cultivar BTx623 chromosome 10, whole genome shotgun sequence.
UCAAGUUUGACCACUCGUCUUAUUCAAAGUUUUGUACAAAAUAUCACUUUUUUUGUUGUGUAUUGGUUUAUUAAUAAAAGUUCUUCAAGAAUGACUUAAAUUUGACUAUAUUUGCACAAAUUUUUUAAAUAAGACGAGUGGUCAAACUUGG